CCGUGUGGGCAGAGCGGGGGGUGAGGGGGGGUCUCAUCCCUUCCAGGGUUUGAGGUCAGGGCUGGCACCUGGCAUGCUGUGCACGUGUGUGUGCGUGCGUGCGUGUGUGCAAAGCCACGUGUGUGCACGUGUGCGGGGGUCCCGUGCACGGGGUGCUUUGUGCGCACUGUGUGUGUGCACUGUGCGUGCACCGUUGCACAGAUGUGAUCGCUGUGAGCGUGCCAAGCGUGUGCCCGGAUCCUUUUCACACCUGGGUCGGUGCACGGGUGCACGGACCCGUUGCACACGCACACACGCGCACACUCACACACGUGGGAUGGCCCCGCGCGUGUGCAGGGCCGCGCGUGCCCGAUCCACCCCGGGUUUUCGGAGUGACCGCGGCGCUCCCGGUUGGGGUCCCGAACGCUGCUCCGCUCCGCCGCCGCCGCCCGAAGUUGAAUCCCGCAGCUCCGCCGCUUUUCUGCCCCGGGACGCGCCGCCCCCGCCGGGUCCCGCAGCGCUCGGUGUGGGCGGACCGCGAUUCCGGGCCCGGUGGGGUUCGGGGGGAGAGGGGCCGUCCGUCCCGUCUAACCCUGAGCUCCGGGAUCCGCCCCGCCGGGAACCGAACCGCACCGGGACCGAACCGAACCGCAUAGCGACGCACCGGGACCGAACCGCCGCCGCCGGCCGGAGGUGCAGGAGCUGCAGAAGGGAUCCAGCACUGCUGCACCCUGACGAGACCUGAGUGCUCUUCAUGCAGACAGAAGCCCAGCAACCACGGUGACACACGUGUGUACAUAUGCUGCACCUGGGGUAGGGGCAACAUGAGGGGCGUCCCUUGGAGCUGCUCCCCCCAUCCGUGCUGCACGGCGCGGGCGCAGCACACAGGUAAGAGCCCCCCGUCCUCCCCCCGUCUCCUCCAUUUCCUCCUCCUGCCUUUCCCUUUGCUGCCCCCAGCCCCACCACCGUGCUGCCCUGCUGGCCCCCCCUCCAUUCUUCCUGCCUGACACUCUCACAAAGCCCCUAGACAAGCUUUCAAAGGGGCAACUCAUGCGGAAGAAUCGCUGCCCCCCUCACCCCUGUGCUCCCAACGCAACCCAGCUCUUUCCCAGCAGGGUGAGGGGCUCCCGCUCCCCCAGCCCCCUUCUUUGGGGCAAUUCCUCCGCGGGGGAGGCGGAGGGGGCCUUGUAAGCAGUGCCACCCACAUGCGCCUGUUCCCCCGCUCCUUGGUUGUUUCUCUCGCAAACCCAUGGGGUCCUGGGGCAGGACGGAGGGGGCAGAGCUGUGGGCUGGGAGCUGGUGCUGAGGCCGUGGGUGGAAAUGGGCUCCAGGCUGCAGGCAGGGCUGAGCCCCGUGGGCUGUGUAGGUGGGACGGGGCAGGGUUUGGCCCGCAGGCAGGGCGGGGAGCCACGGGCAGGGCAGGGCAGGGCUCCGAGUGAUCUGCAGCCCUGAUGCCAGCCUGGGUCCAUCAGCCAAGAGCGGCUCCAUCCAUCCGUGCCUUCGAUUCUUGUUGCAGCUGUCUUGUUGCAAUUUUGACAGGCUGGGAAACUGGAUCGUUUUUAAGGCCCUUUUUCAUCUAAAUCUGUACCAGAAAGGGAGGGAUGCAGGCUCUGAGUGCUGCCCUCCCCCGGCAGCAGCCCCUGCUCCCUUCCAGGUGCACACCGUGAGCCCCAGCUGUUGGUUACACCUGUGCACCGUGCGGGAAGCUGCCCUGGUCCUGGAGAGGAGGGGAGUCACAGAAUCACAGAAUGGCCAGAGUUGGAAGGGACCUCAAGGAUCA